UUUGACAAACUAUAAAAGGUCAAGCCUGCCCAGUGACAUUGUUCAACGGCCGCGGUAUCCUAACCGUGCGAAGGUAGCGUAAUCACUUGUUCUUUAAAUGAGGACUAGUAUGAACGGCUUCACGAAAGCUAUGCUGUCUCCUUUAUUUAAUCAGUUAAACUAAUCUCCCCGUGAAGAAGCGGGGAUACCCGUAUAAGACGAGAAGACCCUAUGGAGCUUUAAACACCUCUAGACAUUUGAACAUACACAAUUUUAAGCCUCACUAAAUUCAUCAUUUUGUCUUAAGUUUUAGGUUGGGGUGACCGCGGAGAAAAAACUAACCUCCACGUAGAAAGAAGCUUCCUCCUAAGCAAAAAACUACAUCUUUAUGCAUCAACACAUUGACCUUAAUUGACCCA
rnacentral:rRNA from 1 species